ensembl:lncRNA
AAUUCUUGUGAUAUUAUAUGUGAUAUUAGAUAUUAUAUGUACUGUAAAUAGAUUUGUUUCUUCGUAUUUCUGUUAUAAGUUAUCAGUAAUGUACAUAAGGGUGUUACCUAAUGUACAUAGGGCACAUUUUAGGUACACCUUUGUACCUAAAGGGCACUUAUCAGUACCUUAAAAUGUACCUAUAUAAUACAUAUUAGUACCCUUUGAAAGGGUACUGCCCCAGUGGCAGAUUAUAUACCCUAAUGCCCUGUGUCUUGAGUGGUGUUUUGUCCUUCUGUGUAUGAAUCAUUCAACAAUUCUGUUGUACCACCUGUAUUAUUAUGUAAUUAGUAGAUUUUAAGGUAAAAAGCAGAUUUAGGUAUAAGUAGAUGGUAUAUUAGCAAUUAUAUAACUUACUGAAAUAUAUGGUUAGAAGUUGUAAAAUAAACAGGCACCAGUGUGCCAUCCCAUAAAUUUCUGGCUGAAUUUCUGGCUACCACAGCUGCUGAUGUUCUACCAUAAAUUUAACAGGAUAUUUUUAACAAGGCACUUGUGCUAAUCUAGCAAGCAGGCAAACUAUUACUGGCAAAUUAAUCUAUUACUCGCUAAGAAAAGUCAAUAUUUCUCUCUUGUCCAAUAUUUUGGAUAAACUCUGAACUUCAGCCAACGUGAACAGUAGUUGAGUGGGAAUUGGUUAUUCCCUGAGGUGUAUUUUCUGGCAGGUCCAGCUGUCCAGACUCCCAUGCACACCAAAGCCAGCAGUGAACUGUGAAAAAAAUGUGACUACUCUCAGGCCUGAUAAAAAGCUUCUGGAGCCACUGACUGGUGACAUUGACCGACUACAACUGGCAAACCACUCUCAGAUCGAGGUGUCAGUAAAUGAAUGUCUUCUGUUUUUUUUUUUUUAAAGGAUUACAGAGUUCCUCAAUCUGACAGUGGGUGUUGAAGUACGAGAUUCCUCAUAAAUGGCGCAGAGUAUUGCCAGAGUCUGAGCUAAAGGUCCAGAACUGCGCCAGUUUUCUGUGAAAAUCCACCAUCAUGCCUGAGCCAUUAAAGAUAUUACUCUAAGUUCUGAAAGAAGAGUUUUUUAAAUUGGAUAAAUGCUUCUUCCAAAGUAUUGCAGAAAUAAAUGUAUCAAAUUGCUUAAAGCUUUUCAGUCAUUUGCUGGAAUAGUCAGAUUAAUCUACAAUGUUCUUUGAAAAAGGCUCUCUAAUUACUAUGGAAAGUGUGUUGCAAUAGCAGCCAGGUAAAUUAUAUAUUGUAAUUUUCAGACGUUAUCAUUGCCCUUGUGUCCUGCUUUGUUGUACACAUAAGACAUGUAGUACAAGGCUCAAGUGCCACUUGAUAAAUGAAGCUGCACUAUUAUAAAUUAAGCUUACAAAAGUGGGGGUUCGCAACAAUGCCUUAGUAGAAGCAUUUCGGAUUUCCCAAAGAACCUUCCAGUGAACAGUUCCUAAAAGAACGAUUUUUCAUAGUGUGAAGAACAUUUGAAUAAUCUAAAGAACCUUUUUUCGCUGUUAAGAACGUUUUGUGGAAUGGAAAGAUUCCAUGGAUAAUAAGAGUUCUUAAGUGAUAAUAACCAAUAAUGCCAACAAAUAACCUUUAUUUGGUAGGGGUGAAGUAAACUGUGUGAUGGAAGUAAACUUUUCUAUUUAGCUUUCAUAUACCAAAAUGUUUGCAUGUCAAAAACAAAGUGUUAUCCUGUCGAAUGCAUGAAUAGUGUCUGGAUUUUAAAAUGCAUUAGAGUACCGAGGUGUGAGAGAUAAGCUCAUUUGAAUCAGUUUACAGGCAGGUUUAAAUCAGCACAGCGUGAAGUAAAUUGAAUUUGUAGGACAUACAUUUGAUUCCCUUUGAUUCCUUUCUGACAUUCUGCAGUCUCAUCCAUAGGCAGAUGAAAUAUGUAGUUUCAAAACACUACUAAACAAUGUCCUCACUUGCCUCCACAGCAAAGAAAUCAAAAACUACCUGUGACCGUCAAGCACAUCCCAUUAUUCCUAAAUUAUACAACAUUGUGUCAUGUGGAGUUCAUAGGAAACUUCAAACCAACAGAGCCUUCAGAAUCUCAAAGUUGUAUGGAAAUUUCAAUUGGAAAGGCUGAAUGGUCACAACGAUCUUUAGUUCUGGCACUGUAAUGGAAGUGUAAAUGGCUCAGAUUUUCCAAACAGAUGGUAAAAUAUAGAUUAGAGAUCGCUGGAGGAAUGAAAAAUAAGUGAAUUCUGUUAAGUGACUAUGUACUGAAACACAUUGACUCUAGAGUUGUAUUUAUAAAGCAGCAUUAGAGCAUAUACUGAGUUCCCCUGAGAAAUUCACCUUCUGUGGUGAGAAAGAUAACAGGAAAAAUUGGCCUUCAUUAUAACUGCAAUUCUGAAAGGUGCUGCCAGGGGGAGCUACUGUACAGAGGCAUCGCAAACGCCAUUCGAGCAAGUCUUGAUCUACAAGUCAAUGAAAACACACUAUUCGUAUUCUUUGUUUAGAAACGAUGCAGUUUCUUGAGCAUUGGGCCAAAGAGUUACAAAAUGAAGACAAGCUGUAAGUAAUUUCAGAUGUUUUGCUAACACGUGCUUUCUUCAAAAGACACGUCAGCCAACCUGACAGGCAGGAAAGUGUCUGUUUCUGUCCAGGUUUGAGUUCUUAGGACAUCUGGUAGUGGGGAUUACAUUAAGAAAAAAUAAAUUUAAAGCCCUUUUGUUGCAGUAAAAAUAUGACUGGAAGGUAGCAUUGUUCCUCUACAUGCAAUCAUUUUCUUGUUUUGUUGCCUUGAGAAUGCCAAUAAAGAGAAAAGCACAAAAGCCACGUGCUGGUCAGACAUCACUUUUUAAUACCUCAAGGAAGCCUGAAUAGUUUUAUCAAUGCCAACUGAAAGAUCAUAAAAAGGAGUCUUGGCAGAUAAGGACAGAAUUAAGAUGAAUUUGUUGUCAAAGGCCAAAUAAUACCUUUACUAAACAAACUUUACCAGAUUGUAACACAUAAUAUACAAAGACAUUUGUCUCACAGCACAUUCUCUGGAAAUAACUAUUCUCUACUCUGUAGCCUGGCCAAAAAAAAAAAAAAAAAAGUGUCUCUCAUUUAAAACGUUGGCAGAUGAGCGGCCCAACAACUCGGCUCAACUUGCACAGCAUGGAAAAGAAAGAGGACUCUUGUUUUUUUUAUUUUUAUUAUUAUUUAUUUUUUAAAUAAAAAGCUUGUUGUUAAUUAAAGCAGUAAUUCAUUCAUAUUAAGAAUGCAACCCUUUAAAAUGCAGAGGUCCCAUGAAUUUAACAUUUUUAUAUAAAAAAAAAGCCUCGCACAGUGAGCACUUUUAUGAACAUUUGAUGCUUUUUAACAAAUCCAAAUAUCCGAUUGAAUUAUGUUUUUGUUGCAGUUUAUACAUUUAUUUAUGUUUCCAAAUGAAUGUAGAAUAUUUUUGUUUUCUAAUUUACAUUACUUACCUUACCUAUAACAUUAUAUAAUUACAUGAAUAAAAUAAAAACAUAAAAAUCUAAUCACAGCUACUAAAUUUACAAACUUAAACACAGUGAUGCUAUUUAUUUAUUUAUUUUUUUGGCCAACAGGCCAAAUGAAUCCUGAACUAAGGUCAUGUCAGAAUAAUGUGCAUUCAUAAAUGGGCUCGGCUGGUGCAAAUGAGCUUUUAUCAACAUGAUUUCUAAAUAUGAGGGAUAAACACUGAGUGUUCUGGAUGGUUUGGCUAGCAGAGGGGCAUCAGGGCUUUUUGCUCUAAUUAUGUUUUCACAGCACUGCAAAUCUAAGUGAUUUCUCUGCCUCAGUUUCUGUGUACUCUGUGAGCCUCAACACAACCUGUCAGACAAUCUAAAGGGAGCAAUUAAAACUAAAGAGUUUCAUUGUGAUGAUAUUCAAAAUGCAGACCCCCUUGCGGUCUGUAACAUUAGUCAGUACAAGGAAGCAUAAAUAGCUGUUCUAUCUAGACUAUAUUUCACCCUAUUCUAUUUGUAUAUGCUGUAUAUUUUUUAUGCGUAUUUCUUGAUUAACUUAGUGACCAAAAACUCAAAAACCAACAGAAAUCGCCAAGUUUCAUUGAAAAAUCAACACGACAUUGUUCUUUUUCAAUGUAAAUCACUGCCAGUGUUAAGUGCCUUAAGGCAGUGGACUGGAAGGCAGCUAACUAUCGAAAAAAGAGCCAUAGACUACUUUACACAGAUCGAUGUUACAUAAGUGUAUGUUAUUUACUGUUUUGGCAGUUCAAAUUAAUAUAUUGGAUUAAAAAAAAAAAAAAUUGAAAAAUCGAAAAUGUGCAUCUUUUCUGACAUAUUCAUGUGAAUUGUAUGAAUGUUUUUUUUUUUUUUAUAAAUAGCACACAGCUAGUGCAAUAAACAUUAAAAAUAAUAAUAAUAAAAUAGCUUUUAUAACAAAGGAACUGGCACUUUACAUGAAUAGUGUCAAUAUCAGUGGCCCAUUACUAAAGCAGUAUUGAACAAGUUCCUAUAGAACAAGAAGGUGCACCUCCAUGCACUGACCCUUUGCUGAAAAAUAUUAAUCUAACUUUAAGAGUUUCAGGCCCUGUUCUGUACCCUAUUUAUAAAAAGUGCAAGCCAAUGAAGAGUUUUGUGCCCAUCAGAACUUAAUGGCAUGAAACCACCAGAGUUCCUAUGAAUGAUUCAACACUCAUGUUCUUCACACUUCUGUGCUCCUGAAAUCAGUCUAGACAGUCAGGUGCCAUUAUUUUACCAAACUAGACAAGUCACAUGCUUCAUGGCAUCAAAGAGCAAUAGAGUUCAAUAUAGUGUAUCACUCACAACCCCAUUUAUUUCAGUCUUUUGUCACACUUAGCAAGAUACAGAGAUGAGGUGGCAUACUGUGUCUUCUGACCCAAUUUCUCUUCUCUUUCUUCAUCCUUUCUUCUCGCUCCUCAUUGUCAUUUUUAUUUAUACAUACUUAUGCUGGUCAAGAAACGCCCACUCAAACAAACAAACUAAAAAAAAAAAAAAAAAAGGUCUGUCAGAUGAGCACAAAAAUGCAACCAACCAGCUUGUUGAGUUUAUAUAAAAUAGAUGAUAUCACAAUGAAAGAGUGCCUUGGAAAAUGUUCAUUCUAACUACACAGCCAUGUAUCAUUCUGCAUGGGUGUACAGAAAAUGGAUGAAAUUUGCAGAGGAAAUGUAUAGCUGAAUUACUAUUAACUGUCUUAAAAACCUACUUGCAUAUAUUCAUUUUCAUAUUGUUCUGGUCACAACUAUUGUAGCUUCUGGUGAUUUGUUGCACUGUGGCCCUGUGGUCUCUGUGCAACACUCUCUGCUCCCCUCUGGCAUCAAUGAGCUGCCGACGACACACAGCUGGAUAGCAGUUUGUCGUUUGGCCAUCUGUGCACCACUUUCGGUACAUACUCACUACAACAGCUCGUGAACAACACACAAGGCGCGCUGUUUCUGAAAUCAAAGUUUAUAUAUUUUACUCAGUUAUUAGUGAAUGAGACCCAAAUGAUUCUAAUAAACAUAAAAACAACAAUUCUAGCAUUCACCAAAUCCUAGAGAAUGUUGCCAGUGGUGAUGUUAGAGUUAAAAUAAAUGUGCACAAACAAAACCCUCCAUGAGCUGAAGGUCACAAGCAUGUUGAAGUGUUUGUCCAACAACACAGCGUUAUUAAUGUUUAAGAUUACGAUAUAGAUGAAGGGUCAGUUUUAUUUUGAAAUCUGCGGUGGUAACAGAGGAAAAGAAUGUGUGUUCUCUCUGACAGGAAGCUCUCAGUGCAGUGUAUAAUCAUUUUGAGAGCCUGGACAGGUGUUUAUGUUAAGAGACGGCUGAGAGACAAUGCUAUCCCAUCUUGGCCAGUGGUUGAGGUCUUGGCCCCGGCCCACAUGCCUGGAAGUAAAAAUAACCCACAGCUCCAGUGCACGUCUCCUGUCAUCUGUCACAACACCCUAGACUGACAAGUGCCCUCUCGCUCACAUACUCGUAUGCCCACAUUCCCUGUCUUUUCCAUUAACACACUACUUAUUCCAAGCCGUUGUACUUCACUUGUUUUUACAACUCUACGUUAAUGCACUUCAUCCCUGUAAAAAGAAAUGCAUGUUCUGUAAUCCUCUCACCUAUGUAUUUUGAAAAGUAACAUAAAAAUAUGUUUUGUUAUUUAACCGUUUGUCAUCUAAGGAAAAAAAAAAAAACGUUUCCCAUUUUCAUUUAGUUCAAGUUUAAGUACAAAAACAAAAUAAACUAAGACUAAUAAAUAAAAUGCAAUAAAUCCUAUAGACAUAAAAAACGUGAUAAAAAAGACAAACAAAUUUACUAAAAAAAAUUAAAUUACUAAAACUUUAAAAUUAAAGUGAAAAAUUAUACAAAUUGAAUAAAAUUCAUAAUAUUAACAAAAACUUUAAUAACAUAUGAAUGAUACUAAAAUAAUUAUCUAGACUUUGUCACGACCAAAAAAAUAAAUAAACAAACAAAUAAAUAAAUAAAUAAAAAUAAAAUAAAAUAAAAAAAAUCAUGCUGUCAGACUCUGACCAGUAGGUAAACUCUUUAAGGUACUCAGUUAUCAAACCCUGGCCCUCAAGAUCCACUUUUCCUGCAGAGUUUAACCCUUUAUCAAAUGCUCCAUUCACGCCAUGUUGUAACGUUCUGCUUGGAGCUGUUCACACCCUUGGACUCAGAACUGUUGCACUAUCAAUGCCUAAACAUAGCAGCUAAUGAAUCUGAGGUGGUCAGGUAGUACAAGUUGUAGCUCUCAGAAAACUCCCUGUUCACAAGUUGUAAUUACUAGUUCUACGAGGACGAGAACGCUUUUUACAAGUCAGUAUCUUGUAAUCACGGUAAUUACAAAUGCACCUAAACUCACCUGCCUGUAACUUUCUAGCAAUCCUUUAGACCUUGAUGAGCUUGUUCAGGUGUAUUGGAUUAGGGUUGGAGCUAAACUCUGCAGGAAAGUGGAAGUCGAGGGCCAGAGCUGAGAACCCCUGCUAUAAGGGAUUUUCCAGCCAUCUGAAUAAUUCAAGCUUGAAGUACCAUGGUCCACCUUCAUGUUUCUUCAAGUGCGCAAUCAGCACAGUUCAGCUGCUUCUGCAGGCAUCAAGCCUCACAAAUCCACAUGCAUAAAGAACAGACAGCACUGAAUGAGUGAGUCAGUUACACUAGACAUGGUCUUGCAUUCAAAAACAGUUAGAUGGAGUGCAGCUCAAUGAGAAAUCGUGGUGGUAAUGCACUUAUAAGUCUGCUAUCCGCCAUAAAGCAAGAAGAAGAAGAUGAUGCAGAAGCGCGUUCAUAAGAGUUCUAACAGUGCGGACAUUGCGUGAAUCAGAGGUAAAAAAUAAAAAA